rnacentral:rRNA from 1 species
GACGAACGCUGGCGGCGUGCCUAAUACAUGCAAGUAGGACGCAGUUGCGAACGGGUGAGUAACGCGUAGGUACCUCCCUAUUAGAGGGGGAUCACUAUUGGAAACGAUAGCUAAUACCGCAUACUAGUAUGUGGACCUGCGUUUUAUUAGCUAGGAGGUAUGGUAACGGCCUACCUAGGCAACGCUACAUAGCCGACCUGAGAGGGUGAGCGGCAACACUGGGACGGAGACACGGCCCAGACUCCGACGGGAGGCAGCAGUAGGGAAUCUUCGGCAAGGGGGGGAACCCUGACCGAGCAACGCCGCGGGAGUGAAGAAGGUUUUCGGAUCGUAAAGCUCUGUUGUUAAGGAAGCGGUACUUAACCAGAAAGGGACGGCUAACUACGUGCCAGCAGCCGCGGUAAUAC